rnacentral:rRNA from 1 species
UACGUAGGGCGCGAGCGUUGUCCGGAAUUAUUGGGCGUAAAGAGUUCGUAGGCGGUCUGUCACGUCGGCUGUGAAAACCCGAGGCUCAACCUCGGGCCUGCAGUCGAUACGGGCAGACUAGAGUUCGGUAGGGGAGACUGGAAUUCCUGGUGUAGCGGUGAAAUGCGCGGAUAUCAGGAGGAACACCGGUGGCGAAGGCGGGUCUCUGGGCCGAAACUGACGCUGAGGAGCGAAAGCGUGGGGAGCGAACAGG